rnacentral:rRNA from 1 species
UACGUAGGGGGCAAGCGUUGUCCGGAAUCAUUGGGCGUAAAGAGCGUGUAGGCGGUUCAGUAAGUCUGCUGUGAAAGUCCAAGGCUCAACCUUGGGAUGCCGGUGGAUACUGCUGAGCUAGAGUACGGAAGAGGCGAGUGGAAUUCCUGGUGUAGCGGUGAAAUGCGUAGAUAUCAGGAGGAACACCGGUGGCGAAGGCGGUUCUCUGGGCCUUACCUGACACUGAGGAGCGAAAGCGUGGGGAGCGAACAGG